rnacentral:snoRNA from 1 species
AACCAUGAUGGGGACAAAGGGCUACAACUCUUUAUAUCUUUUCCAGGCUUGGUAUAAGGUUUUACUAUCCUUUUGAGCAAAUGAAGAUAUUUGCUUCUUAAGGGC